UACGUAGGUGGCAAGCGUUGUCCGGAUUUACUGGGCGUAAAGAGCGCGCAGGCGGUCGUUCAAGUCGCGUGUGAAAGCCCCCGGCUCAACUGGGGAGGGUCACGCGAUACUGAUCGACUCGAAGGCAGGAGAGGGUAGUGGAAUUCCCGGUGUAGUGGUGAAAUGCGUAGAUAUCGGGAGGAACACCAGUGGCGAAGGCGGGUAGCUGGGCCAACACUGACGCUGAUGCGCGAAAGCUAGGGGAGCAAACAGG
rnacentral:rRNA from 1 species